rnacentral:rRNA from 1 species
GGUUGCGGACAGUGUCUGGUGGGUAGUUUGACUGGGGCGGUCUCCUCCCAAAGAGUAACGGAGGAGCACGAAGGUUAGCUAAUCCUGGUCGGACAUCAGGAGGUUAGUGCAAUGGCAUAAGCUAGCUUGACUGCGAGAGUGACGGCUCGAGCAGGUGCGAAAGCAGGUCAUAGUGAUCCGGUGGUUCUGAAUGGAAGGGCCAUCGCUCAACGGAUAAAAGGUACUCCGGGGAUAACAGGCUGAUACCGCCCAAGAGUUCAUAUCGACGGCGGUGUUUGGCACCUCGAUGUCGGCUCAUCACAUCCUGGGGCUGAAGUAGGUCCCAAGGGUAUGGCUGUUCGCCAUUUAAAGUGGUACGCGAGCUGGGUUUAGAACGUCGUGAGACAGUUCGGUCCCUAUCUGCCGUGGGCGCUGGAGAAUUGAGGGGG